rnacentral:rRNA from 1 species
AGGACUAACGCUGGCGGCGUGCCUAACACAUGCAAGUCGAACGAGGGGUAGCAAUACCCCUAGUGGCAGACGGGUGAGUAACACGUAGUCAACCUACCUCUUAAUGGGGGAUAACUAGCCGAAAGGUUAGCUAAUACCGCAUACGAUCGUCGAGUGGCAUCACACGACGAUGAAAGGAGCAAUCCGUUGAGAGAGGGGACUGCGUCCCAUUAGUUAGUUGGUGGGGUAAUGGCCUACCAAGACUCCGAUGGGUAGCUGGCUUGAGAGAGCGACCAGCCACACUGGAACUGAGACACGGUCCAGACUCCUACGGGAGGCAGCAGUGAGGAAUUUUCCGCAAUGGGGGAAACCCUGACGGAGCGACGCCGCGUGUGGGAAGAAGGCCUUCGGGUCGUAACCACUGUCGAGGGGACGAUAUUGACGGUACCCCUGGAGGAAGCCCCGGCUAACUACGCGCCAGCAGCCGC